CCUACGGGUGGCAGCAGUGAGGAAUAUUGGUCAAUGGCCGAGAGUCUGAACCAGCCAAGCCGCGUGAAGGAUGAAUGUCCUGCGGAUUGUAAACUUCUUUUAUCAAGGAAUAAAGCCAGGGACUAGUGCCCUGUUGCGUGUACCUUAUGAAUAAGCAUCGGCUAACUCCGUUCCAGCAGCCGCGGUAAUACGGAGGAUCCGAGCGUUAUCCGGAUUUAUUGGGUUUAAAGGGAGCGUAGGUGGGUUGUUAAGUCAGUGGUGAAAGUUUGCGGAUCAACCGUAGAAGUGCAGUUGAACCUGGCAGUAGUGAGUAGAGUUGAGGUAGGCGGAAUUCGUGGUGUAGUGGUGAAAUGCUUAGAUAGCACGAAGAACCCCGAUUGCGAAGGCAGCUUACUAAACUGUGACUGACGUUGAGGCACGAAAGUGUGGGUAUCAAACAGGAUUAGAUACCCGUGUAGUC
rnacentral:rRNA from 1 species